UACGAGGGGUGCAAGCGUUGCUCGGAAUUAUUGGGCGUAAAGGGUUGGUAGGUGGUCUUGUUUGUCUAAGGUGAAAUCCCUCGGCUCAACUGAGGAACUGCCUUUGAAACUGUCUGGCUUGAGGCCGGGAGGGGGUAGCGGAAUUCCCAGUGUAGCGGUGAAAUGCGUAGAUAUUGGGAGGAACACCAGUGGCGAAGGCGGCUACCUGGACCGGUUCUGACGCUGAUGCGCGAAAGCGUGGGUAGCAAACAGG
rnacentral:rRNA from 1 species